UACGGAGGGUGCGAGCGUUGUUCGGAAUCACUGGGCGUAAAGGGCGUGUAGGCGGUCCGCUAAGUCUGAUGUGAAAGCCCGGGGCUCACCCCCGGAAGGGCAUUGGAAACUGGCGGACUCGAGUCCCGGAGAGGAAGGUGGAAUUCCUGGUGUAGCGGUGAAAUGCGUAGAUAUCAGGAGGAAUACCGGUGGCGAAGGCGGCCUUCUGGAGGGUGACUGACGCUGAGACGCGGAAGCGUGGGGAGCAAACAGG
rnacentral:rRNA from 1 species